AUACGGAGGAUGCAAGCGUUAUCCGGAUUUAUUGGGUUUAAAGGGUGCGUAGGCGGAUGAUUAAGCGUGAGGUGAAAUGCCACUGCUCAACAGUGGAACUGCCUCGCGAACUGGUUGUCUUGAAUGCUCCUGCCGUGGGAGGAAUGUGUGGUGUAGCGGUGAAAUGCUUAGAGAUUACACAGAACACCGAUUGCGAAGGCAUCUCACGAAGGGUUGUUUGACGCUGAGGCACGAAAGCGUGGGGAUCAAACAGGAUUAGAUCCCCUGGUAGUCCACGCAGUAAACGAUGAUGGCUGACCGCGGGGCUGAUCAGUUCAGUGGCCAAGCGAAAGCGAUAAGCCACCCGCCUGGGGAGUCCGACCGCAAGGUUGAAACUCAAAUGAAUUGGCGGG
rnacentral:rRNA from 1 species